rnacentral:rRNA from 1 species
GACAUCCAGAGAACUUAGCAGAGAUGCUUUGGUGCCUUCGGGAACUCUGAGACAGGUGCUGCAUGGCUGUCGUCAGCUCGUGUUGUGAAAUGUUGGGUUAAGUCCCGCAACGAGCGCAACCCUUAUCCUUUGUUGCCAGCGGCUCGGCCGGGAACUCAAAGGAGACUGCCGGUGAUAAACCGGAGGAAGGUGGGGAUGACGUCAAGUCAUCGUGGCCCUUACGGCCAGGGCUACACACGUGCUACAAUGGCGCAUACAAAGAGAAGCGACCUCGCGAGAGCAAGCGGACCUCAUAAAGUGCGUCGUAGUCCGGAUUGGAGUCUGCAACUCGACUCCAUGAAGUCGGAAUCGCUAGUAAUCGUAGAUCAGAAUGCUACGGUGAAUACGUUCCCGGGCCUUGUACACACCGCCCGUCACACCAUGGGAGUGGGUUGCAAAAGAAGUAGGUAGCUUAACCUUCGGGAGGGCGCUUACCACUUUGUGAUUCAUGACUGGGGUGAAGUCGUAACAAGGUAGGCGUAGCGAG